rnacentral:rRNA from 1 species
GGGUUGUGAGGUUAAGCGACUAAGCGUACACGGUGGAUGCCCUGGCAGUCAGAGGCGAUGAAGGACGUGCUAAUCUGCGAUAAGCGUCGGUAAGGUGAUAUGAACCGUUAUAACCGGCGAUUUCCGAAUGGGGAAACCCAGUGUGUUUCGACACACUAUCAUUAACUGAAUCCAUAGGUUAAUGAGGCGAACCGGGGGAACUGAAACAUCUAAGUACCCCGAGGAAAAGAAAUCAACCGAGAUUCCCCCAGUAGCGGCGAGCGAACGGGGAGCAGCCCAGAGCCUGAAUCAGUGUGUGUGUUAGUGGAAGCGUCUGGAAAGGCGCGCGAUACAGGGUGACAGCCCCGUACACAAAAAUGCACAUACUGUGAGCUCGAUGAGUAGGGCGGGACACGUGGUAUCCUGUCUGAAUAUGGGGGGACCAUCCUCCAAGGCUAAAUACUCCUGACUGACCGAUAGUGAACCAGUACCGUGAGGGAAAGGCGAAAAGAACCCCGGCGAGGGGAGUGAAAAAGAACCUGAAACCGUGUACGUACAAGCAGUGGGAGCACGCUUCGGCGUGUGACUGCGUACCUUUUGUAUAAUGGGUCAGCGACUUAUAUUCUGUAGCAAGGUUAACCGAAUAGGGGAGCCGAAGGGAAACCGAGUCUUAACUGGGCGUUAAGUUGCAGGGUAUAGACCCGAAACCCGGUGAUCUAGCCAUGGGCAGGUUGAAGGUUGGGUAACACUAACUGGAGGACCGAACCGACUAAUGUUGAAAAAUUAGCGGAUGACUUGUGGCUGGGGGUGAAAGGCCAAUCAAACCGGGAGAUAGCUGGUUCUCCCCGAAAGCUAUUUAGGUAGCGCCUCGUGAAUUCAUCUCCGGGGGUAGAGCACUGUUUCGGCAAGGGGGUCAUCCCGACUUACCAACCCGAUGCAAACUGCGAAUACCGGAGAAUGUUAUCACGGGAGACACACGGCGGGUGCUAACGUCCGUCGUGAAGAGGGAAACAACCCAGACCGCCAGCUAAGGUCCCAAAGUCAUGGUUAAGUGGGAAACGAUGUGGGAAGGCCCAGACAGCCAGGAUGUUGGCUUAGAAGCAGCCAUCAUUUAAAGAAAGCGUAAUAGCUCACUGGUCGAGUCGGCCUGCGCGGAAGAUGUAACGGGGCUAAACCAUGCACCGAAGCUGCGGCAGCGACACUAUGUGUUGUUGGGUAGGGGAGCGUUCUGUAAGCCUGUGAAGGUGUGCUGUGAGGCAUGCUGGAGGUAUCAGAAGUGCGAAUGCUGACAUAAGUAACGAUAAAGCGGGUGAAAAGCCCGCUCGCCGGAAGACCAAGGGUUCCUGUCCAACGUUAAUCGGGGCAGGGUGAGUCGACCCCUAAGGCGAGGCCGAAAGGCGUAGUCGAUGGGAAACAGGUUAAUAUUCCUGUACUUGGUGUUACUGCGAAGGGGGGACGGAGAAGGCUAUGUUGGCCGGGCGACGGUUGUCCCGGUUUAAGCGUGUAGGCUGGUUUUCCAGGCAAAUCCGGAAAAUCAAGGCUGAGGCGUGAUGACGAGGCACUACGGUGCUGAAGCAACAAAUGCCCUGCUUCCAGGAAAAGCCUCUAAGCAUCAGGUAACAUCAAAUCGUACCCCAAACCGACACAGGUGGUCAGGUAGAGAAUACCAAGGCGCUUGAGAGAACUCGGGUGAAGGAACUAGGCAAAAUGGUGCCGUAACUUCGGGAGAAGGCACGCUGAUAUGUAGGUGAAGUCCCUCGCGGAUGGAGCUGAAAUCAGUCGAAGAUACCAGCUGGCUGCAACUGUUUAUUAAAAACACAGCACUGUGCAAACACGAAAGUGGACGUAUACGGUGUGACGCCUGCCCGGUGCCGGAAGGUUAAUUGAUGGGGUCAGCGCAAGCGAAGCUCUUGAUCGAAGCCCCGGUAAACGGCGGCCGUAACUAUAACGGUCCUAAGGUAGCGAAAUUCCUUGUCGGGUAAGUUCCGACCUGCACGAAUGGCGUAAUGAUGGCCAGGCUGUCUCCACCCGAGACUCAGUGAAAUUGAACUCGCUGUGAAGAUGCAGUGUACCCGCGGCAAGACGGAAAGACCCCGUGAACCUUUACUAUAGCUUGACACUGAACAUUGAGCCUUGAUGUGUAGGAUAGGUGGGAGGCUUUGAAGUGUGGACGCCAGUCUGCAUGGAGCCGACCUUGAAAUACCACCCUUUAAUGUUUGAUGUUCUAACGUGGACCCGUGAUCCGGGUUGCGGACAGUGUCUGGUGGGUAGUUUGACUGGGGCGGUCUCCUCCUAAAGAGUAACGGAGGAGCACGAAGGUUGGCUAAUCCUGGUCGGACAUCAGGAGGUUAGUGCAAUGGCAUAAGCCAGCUUGACUGCGAGCGUGACGGCGCGAGCAGGUGCGAAAGCAGGUCAUAGUGAUCCGGUGGUUCUGAAUGGAAGGGCCAUCGCUCAACGGAUAAAAGGUACUCCGGGGAUAACAGGCUGAUACCGCCCAAGAGUUCAUAUCGACGGCGGUGUUUGGCACCUCGAUGUCGGCUCAUCACAUCCUGGGGCUGAAGUAGGUCCCAAGGGUAUGGCUGUUCGCCAUUUAAAGUGGUACGCGAGCUGGGUUUAGAACGUCGUGAGACAGUUCGGUCCCUAUCUGCCGUGGGCGCUGGAGAACUGAGGGGGGCUGCUCCUAGUACGAGAGGACCGGAGUGGACGCAUCACUGGUGUUCGGGUUGUCAUGCCAAUGGCACUGCCCGGUAGCUAAAUGCGGAAGAGAUAAGUGCUGAAAGCAUCUAAGCACGAAACUUGCCCCGAGAUGAGUUCUCCCUGACUCCUUGAGAGUCCUGAAGGAACGUUGAAGACGACGACGUUGAUAGGCCGGGUGUGUAAGCGCAGCGAUGCGUUGAGCUAACCGGUACUAAUGAACCGUGAGGCUUAACCUUACAACGCCGAAGCUGUU